rnacentral:misc_RNA from 1 species
GGAAGUAAAAGUCGUAGCAAGGUUUCCGUAGGUGAACCUGCGGAAGGAUCAUUCAUAAUAAAGUGUUUUAUGGCACUUUUUAAAAAUCCAUAUCCACCUUGUGUGCAAUGUUAGAUCUCGUCAAUCUUGGCGAGAUUUUUAUACAUCAACUCAUUCUUUAACUAAUUUGUCUGAAAAAUAUUAUGAAUACUUAAUUCAAAAUACAACUUUUAACAACGGAUCUCUUGGCUCUC